rnacentral:rRNA from 1 species
AGAGUUUGAUCCUGGCUCAGAUUGAACGCUGGCGGCAUGCUUUACACAUGCAAGUCGAACGGCAGCACGGGUGCUUGCACCUGGUGGCGAGUGGCGAACGGGUGAGUAAUGCACCGGAACGUACCCAGUAAUGGGGGAUAACACAUCGAAAGAUGUGCUAAUACCGCAUACGCCCUGAGGGGGAAAGCGGGGGAUCGUAAGACCUCGCGUUAUUGGAGCGGCCGAUGCCGGAUUAGCUAGUUGGUGAGGUAAGAGCUCACCAAGGCGACGAUCCGUAGCUGGUCUGAGAGGACGACCAGCCACACUGGGACUGAGACACGGCCCAGACUCCUACGGGAGGCAGCAGUGGGGAAUUUUGGACAAUGGGCGCAAGCCUGAUCCAGCCAUGCCGCGUAAGUGGAGAAGGCCUUCGGGUUGUAAAGCUCUUUCGCAAGGAAAGAAAACUUAUCUACUAA